CGAACGCUGGCGGCGUGCCUAACACAUGCAAGUCAAGGGGAAAGUCAACUUCGGUUGAUGAUUAUACUGGCGGACGGGUGAGUAACGCGUAGGCAACCUGCCCUUGUGAUUGGAAUAACCCACCGAAAGGUGGACUAAUACCGGAUAACAUUUUAGAUACGCAUGUAUUUAGAAUCAAAGGUGCCGCAAGGUAUCACACAAGGAUGGGCCUGCGUUCCAUUAGUUAGUUGGUAAGGUAACGGCUUACCAAGACAGCGAUGGAUAGCUGGUCUGAGAGGGUGAUCAGCCACACUGGGACUGAGAUACGGCCCAGACUCCUACGGGAGGCAGCAGUGGGGAAUAUUGCGCAAUGGGCGAAAGCCUGACGCAGCAACGCCGCGUGGGGGAUGAAGCACUAUGGUGUGUAAACCUCUGUAGACAGGGAAGAACAGCAGGGCUUCGUAAGGGGUUUUGUUUGACGGUACCUGUAAAGUAAGCUCCGGCUAACUCC
rnacentral:rRNA from 1 species